rnacentral:rRNA from 1 species
GACCCCCCCAGCGAACGUUGUUCGGAAUCACUGGGCUUAAAGGGCGCGUAGGCGGGCUGCCGCGUCCGGGGUGAAAUCCUCCCGCUCAACGGGAGAACGGCCUCGGAUACGGGCGGCCUCGAGGGGGGUAGGGGCGUGCGGAACUGUGGGUGGAGCGGUGAAAUGCGUUGAUAUCCACAGGAACUCCGGUGGCGAAGGCGGCACGCUGGACCCCCACUGACGCUGAGGCGCGAAAGCCAGGGGAGCGAACGGG